CUGUUUAUCAAAAACAUCUCCUUUUAAAAAAUAAAAGGUAGGCUUUGCUCAAAGAAAAAUUUUAAAUAGCCGCAGUAUUCUGACUGUGCUAAGGUAGCAUAAUAAUUUGUUUUAUAAUAGAAAACUAGAAUGAAAGAGCUGACGGUAUUACUUCUUUCUUUGAAAAAAAAAUUGAAAUUAAUCCCUACCUAAAAAAGUGUAGAUUUCCCUAAAGGGACGAUAAGACCCUAUAAAGCUUUACUUAAAAAAAGACUUUAAACUCAAAACCCCUUCCUUUUUUAAGUUCAGCUGGGGCGGCUUCUAUUCCCCAAUAGAAAAAAUAACAAGGAUGCUUGAAUUGAAAGAUCUUUCUUAGAUCUAGAACAAGCUACUUUAGGGAUAACAGCAUAAUUUUUUUUUAAAGUUCAUAUAGAUAAAAAAGACUUAUGACCUCGAUGUUGAAUUGAGAACUUCUUUUUAAGCAGAAAUAAAAAUGAUAGGUCUGUUCGACCUUUAAAUUCUCACGUGAUCUGAGUUCAAACCGG
rnacentral:rRNA from 1 species